UGAAAGGCAAUAACAAGAGCACUCUGAGAGUGCAAACCUCUGCCAAGGCAACACCAAUGUCCUCUCAAUGACCAGCCAGAGAUGAUUUUGAAAAUGAGAACAUCUGAAAAACUAGACUUCUCUCACAAACAAGAAUACUAAAAAUGAACCUGACUGCUCUCAAAAUUUACGUAAAAAAAACAGGAUAAAUAAUCCAGAAACCUUGUCUGGUAACCAAUCGAUCCCGAAAUCUCAUCAGUUCGAACCAGUCACAAGGCCAAACAUCCCUGAAAGUUUCAACUGAAUCCAUGCAGUGGUUCUUAAGAUAUCUUGUCCUUGGACAAACAAAUAUGACUGAAC